rnacentral:misc_RNA from 1 species
GAUGAAGAACGUAGCGAAAUGCGAUACUUGGUGUGAAUUGCAGAAUCCCGUGAACCAUCGAGUUUUUGAACGCAAGUUGCGCCCGAAGCCAUUAGGCCGAGGGCACGCCUGCCUGGGCGUCACACGUCGUUGCCCCCCCCAUCUACUCCUUCGGGAUUGCGGGGGGCGGAUGAUGGCCUCCCGUGUGCCUCGCCGCGCGGUUGGCAUAAAUGCCAAGUCCUCGGCGACGCACGCCACGACAAUCGGUGGUUGCGAAACCUCGGUUGCCCGUCGUGUGCGGUCGUCGCGCAUCGAGGGCUCGAAAAAAUUGCCGGGUUCCGGCUCGGCUUUCAACGCGACCCCAGGUCAGGCGGGGUUACCCGCUGAAUUUAAGCAUAUCAAUAAGCGGAGGA